GACGAACGCUGGCGGCGUGCUUAACACAUGCAAGUCGAACGGUAAGGCUCCAGCUUGCUGGGGUACACAAGUGGCGAACGGGUGAGUAACACGUGGGUGACCUGCCCUGCACUUCGGGAUAAGCCUGGGAAACUGGGUCUAAUACCGGAUAGGACCGCACCGUGAGGGUGUGGUGGAAAGUUUUUUCGGUGUGGGAUGGGCCCGCGGCCUAUCAGCUUGUUGGUGGGGUAAUGGCCUACCAAGGCGGCGACGGGUAGCCGGCCUGAGAGGGUGGACGGCCACAUUGGGACUGAGACACGGCCCAGACUCCUACGGGAGGCAGCAGUGGGGAAUAUUGCACAAUGGGCGGAAGCCUGAUGCAGCGACGCCGCGUGGGGGAUGACGGCCUUCGGGUUGUAAACUCCUUUCACCAUCGACGAAGGGUUUCUGACGGUAGAUGGAGAAGAAGCACCGGCUAACUACGUGCCAGCAGCCGCGGUAAUACGUAGGGUGCGAGCGUUGUCCGGAAUUACUGGGCGUAAAGAGCUCGUAGGUGGUUUGUCGCGUCGUCUGUGAAAUUCCGGGGCUUAACUCCGGGCGUGCAGGCGAUACGGGCAUAACUUGAGUACUGUAGGGGAGACUGGAAUUCCUGGUGUAGCGGUGAAAUGCGCAGAUAUCAGGAGGAACACCGGUGGCGAAGGCGGGUCUCUGGGCAGUAACUGACGCUGAGGAGCGAAAGCAUGGGGAGCGAACAGGAUUAGAUACCCUGGUAGUCCAUGCCGUAAACGGUGGGCGCUAGGUGUGGGUUUCCUUCCACGGGAUCCGUGCCGUAGCUAACGCAUUAAGCGCCCCGCCUGGGGAGUACGGCCGCAAGGCUAAAACUCAAAGGAAUUGACGGGGGCCCACACAAGCGGCGGAGCAUGUGGAUUAAUUCGAUGCAACGCGAAGAACCUUACCUGGGCUUGACAUAUACAGGAUCGCGCCAGAGAUGGUGUUUCCCUUGUGGCUUGUAUACAGGUGGUGCAUGGUUGUCGUCAGCUCGUGUCGUGAGAUGUUGGGUUAAGUCCCGCAACGAGCGCAACCCUUGUCUUAUGUUGCCAGCACGUUGUGGUGGGGACUCGUAAGAAACUGCCGGGGUUAACUCGGAGGAAGGUGGGGAUGACGUCAAAUCAUCAUGCCCCUUAUGUCCAGGGCUUCACACAUGCUACAAUGGUCGGUACAGUGGGUUGCCAGUCCGUGAGGGCGAGCUAAUCCCGCAAAGCCGGUCUCAGUUCGGAUCGGGGUCUGCAACUCGACCCCGUGAAGUCGGAGUCGCUAGUAAUCGCAGAUCAGCAACGUUGCGGUGAAUACGUUCCCGGGCCU
rnacentral:rRNA from 1 species